CGGAGGGAGAAUGCAGAGGCCGGGCUGGGUGGUUCCCUGUGACCUAUGUUGAACGACGACUCAGCACACCCGUCAGCAGAGCGGUGGAAGAAGCGUCCUAGCCUGCUUCCGAGCCCUGGAACAUGAAAAAUCCAUGUGAGUAAUACUGUUCUCGGAUCUGGCUACUUUUCAAGGCUGAUCUCCCUCGGAGAAAUCAUCUGCUAGGCCUCGAGCUGCCCCCCCGUCCAGCUUCCAUUCAUGUGGAGUCUCAUGGGUUCACCCGUUCUUCCUGUGCUCCCUCUUAUGUGUGUGUGUGUGUGUGUGUGUGUGUGGGUGCCACUUACCGAUAUAUCCAGCCUCUUCAUCUCGAUUCUCUCCUCUGAAUUUACUUAAAAUGCAGUUGACUUCCACAUCUAUUUCUUGCGCUCUUAUCGUUGACUAAUUUUCCUGCAAUUUAGUACGUUGUGUCGAGUACGGUUUGGCUGGAUCAUGAGCAUUCGUCCUUUAGUACUGUGUCGGCGAGUGAUGAUUAACAAGCGAUGGAUCAUGAGCUAGCCUGACGUUGACUUUUAGCGUAAUAGUAUUAUACUCGGUCGGAAUAAGGCAGAUGAUGGGCAGGGGCAGAUGUUAGAGGGCAGCCGAAAUUUGUCCACGCAGGGCCACGAGGAGAUGACCCAGUUCCCUGUUAGCUACUCUUCACUAGCGCGUUGACCUAGCUCCUCCCGCAAGUGGUUCGGUCAACAGUUUGACUACCAGUAAAGCUGUUGCUUGAGUGUGGUCAACUGAGCUGGUAAGUUCCAGCGAGGGUGUGGAGAGAAGAGCAGCAGAAUGAGAAGAAGAUAAAUAUGGCAGAUGUAAAAGUUGCAAUGACCACUCACAAAGGAAGAAAUGCAUUAUUUAACCGUAAAAUAUCUUAGGUUGAUCGAAUGGGUACACAAUUAAAUAAAACCGAUGGAUAAAAUAAAGAUGGAAGUGGAAUGCAAAGUUACUAAAAGGACCAAACUAAAUAAUUAGCGAACACAAGAAAACCCUGGUGAAAAUUGGAAAAUGAGACUCAGUACAAUAAGGGGAAAUAAAUAAAUGCGGAAGCAUCUACCAUAAAAGUAGCUUAAAAUAAUAAUAAUAAGAAUAAUAAUAAGAAUAAGGGUAGGCUAGUCAGGAUAGCGCCGAAUGAUUGAAGCCCAAAGUCAGUAUGCUGGUAUCUUCGGGCAGCAUCUUUGGUGAUUCGAGGAGAGAUAAGGGAAUUUUCCGAAAAACCCAGAUAAAGCAAAUCACACGAGAAAAACCCAUAGAAGUAUCUAAGACUUUAAACCGACCCUCGCGCGCCGACAGAUGUGAAGCCAGCAACCCAAUAAAAAUUACGCCAUGUACGCAUCCAGAGAGGUCGGUGGAAGGAUGGGUUUACUAAUCGAGGUAAAUGUAGGGUCUGAAUUUUGACGAAGGCAAAGAGAAGGUGAUGUAGGUAAAUUUUCUCUCUCCCCCCUCCUCCCCUCUCUCUUUCUCCCUCUUUCUCUCUCUCUCUCUACGCACUAUUUUUCUCUCUCCUCUUCCUUCUCUACGUAGGGCUCCUCACCGGGCCGGGCAUCGGGUCCAGGUUGGGCUUGGGCUCGUCGUUGAUGGGCCCCACUGGGCCUAAUGAGGACGAACUUUGUAAAUACUAUUAUUUUGUGGGUAUAAGAGCUCAUCGAAACGGGUGGAGGCCUCGGAAUGCAAAAAAAGUUCUUACGAGGUUAUAGCGAGGUGGCGUCGGCGCCGGUCUUCGUCGCCCGAGCGCGGAAAGAAGGCCGUCGUCGUCAGCGCAGGCCUUGAGGACGAUGAUCAGCGUGUGGGAGGGGCCCUACGAUUGGCUAUGGAGGUUUCCUGAGCAUCAAGGAACAAUGAAGAAUGCACAAUUAUACGCUGAUAUGCAUGAGAAAGUACGAUCAUGGCGGAUUUCCGGAGCCACCAAGGAAGCCGGAGAAGAAAGCAAUGCAGGAGCAAAAGGGAUGCGAAAUGCUCGCGCCUUCGUCCCCAUAAUUUUGAAUUUGGAACAAAGCCGAUCGACUCUGAUUCCGGGGAGUUCCCAGCCCAAGGUGACGCGAAUUUGCAGGGACAAGGGUUGAGGAAAGUGGAAGCCAAGAGAGAAGCAGUUCCACGACCUGCCGAUUGGAGGAACACUCUCCUUCCGACAUUGGGGGCAAAUUGGUCGCAGACACGAGCACGCUUCGAAAGUGUUGCUCAUCAGAGGCACAGGCUGAUGAACAGCAGAUGAAAGACUAAUGCCGCAAGCCGCAGUAAUACUUACGGAGAGAGGAUCUGUCCGGCGCAGGCGGGAAGAAACUUUACCGACGACGAAGCGAAUGGCGACGAGAAACGGGGCAGCAGAGAGUAGGCAGGAGGCGAGGCGCACCGCACGGGCUGCCGCUGGCUGGCCCGCUCUUCACUAGCAUCCCAUGAGAGCGCUCGCCGAGAUGCCCUCCAAGAGAUGGCGCUGCGCAGCGCGGCGAAAUGCCGAC
rnacentral:lncRNA from 1 species